GACGAACGCUGGCGGCGUGCUUAACACAUGCAAGUCGAACGGAAAGGCCCUGCUUUUGUGGGGUGCUCGAGUGGCGAACGGGUGAGUAACACGUGAGUAACCUGCCCUUGACUUUGGGAUAACUUCAGGAAACUGGGGCUAAUACCGGAUAGGAUCUCCUGCUGCAUGGUGGGGGUUGGAAAGUUUCGGCGGUUGGGGAUGGACUCGCGGCUUAUCAGCUUGUUGGUGGGGUAGUGGCUUACCAAGGCUUUGACGGGUAGCCGGCCUGAGAGGGGGACCGGCCACAUUGGGACUGAGAUACGGACCAGACGCCUACGGGAGGCAGCAGUGGGGAAUAUUGCACAAUGGGCGGAAGCCUGAUGCAGAAACGCCGCGUGCGGGAUGACGGCCUUCGGGUUGUAAACCGCUUUCGCCUGUGACGAAGCGUGAGUGACGGUAAUGGGUAAAGAAGCACCGGCUAACUACGUG
rnacentral:rRNA from 1 species